rnacentral:lncRNA from 1 species
AAAGCAGUAAAUUGACUUGGAUGUUUUAAACAAAUGGAGCCUGCAAUUUAAAUGAGAUGAAUAAUUUGAAUUAACUUUUCAGGAUUACUCUUACUGAAAUAUACCCAAAGGUAAAACCAACAGAUGAAGAAUGUACCCUAUGCUUUUUUUUCAUUCCAUGAUUAGUGUUAAUAGAAAAGAUACCAGGAACUGACAUCUUUCCUUCUGUGUCCUGUUACAAAGUUAUCCUUUCAGUUCAAUGAAAAUUAUUUGUUAGUUAUUUUGGGGAAGAGUUUUUAGAACUUCUAAAAUUCUAACAGAUAGUGUGUGUGUUGUCGAAGUGAUGUGUGGUGCAGUGAGCAUUGGCUGUCUCCAGAGCCAACAAUAAAUUUAAAUUAAGAAGCAAAACAAUGUAAAUGACUUCUACUAACAGGCACUUAAAAGUUAGAAUAUGUCGUACUCAUUUAACUUGGCUCUCUAAUGAGCAAUUUUAUAUAUUUUCUUAGCACAGGUAAGAUUUACCAUGGUUUUAUAGAUGUUUUAAGGUAAACUGUAUUUCGUAAAAUAGGUGAAUAAAUUACCAUCUGGAAUAUUUAAUCUAAGACUUCUUCAGUGAAAAAAAGUGUUGAAUUUUUUGUUGGGCAAGUCGCUCAGUUUGGAGAUUUUUCUUGUAGGUGUUAGGAUGGUGAUUUUCAAAGCAUUUUGGAGAACAUGGGUCAUUUCUGUGUUUAAGGCUUCUGCCCAACUUUCCCAAUAUUUCCAUUCUUGCAUCUCUAAACCCAAACUAAAAAACUCCUUAUGUGUAUGUCUCGGCAAUGUAGUCGCACCCUCCUUGUGGGUCUAUUGGUCUGUAGAUCUUAUUCUGGAUCUACCAAUGUAGAGUUGAAUUUUAAUCUGCCGUUCCUUAAUAAAUGUUUGCCAUGUAAUUUAAAUGAAAUCGAAAGAUAGGGUAAUGACAAUUAAAAUUUCAAAUAUUCUUUCAUCUGACAUCUUCAUCUCCAGAAACGAUUGACUCUUGUUUGUUUAGCUCCUAAGCCGGUUGAAAUUUUCAUCAACUGAACAGAGAUGGCAGAAUCUGUCUCCAAAGGCAGCCAGACAUGUUAUUUAAGGGUGGUGGUGUCUCCCAGUGGGUUUCCUCCUGUGAACCUUUCUCACUCACCAGGUCUUUACUGGGCUCUGAAAUAAAUCUGUCAUGGUGAAUUUGAGUUACAGCUGAAGGACAGCAUAAUAGAUUGCUAAGGUAUAAUAAAGAGAAACACUAAGUCAAAAUAUUGUUUAGCACUCACUUAAUACUCUACAUUAGGUGAAGUCCUCCAUUGUCCCUCGCCCGCCUCUCUAUUUUGAUCUGAAAGCUCGAUUUCCAAAUUACAAAUGAGAGACAUCCGAUUCUCUUCUGUGACUAAAGCCAGGUACUACAGUAGCUUUACAGCCUUUGCAACCCAGACCGUCUCCUGUCAGCGGCAGUUAAGGAGACUUCAGCUCGGAUGUUGCCUGGAUGGCCUAAACGGGCUGUAAAUUUAGUAGUUUGAGGAGGACACAUCACGUUUUAGAACCGAAGGUGCUUCCUGUUCAACACGUUUCACCACGUUUCCUUGGGUGUCAGGAAGCUCUCAACUUUUUAGAAUUCAGCAUUUUUGUUUGUUAAUAGGAUCCUUGUGAGUUGAUCCACACACACGCCUCUAAGUUCUUGCCACCACCCCUUUACCUGGUAAAGCAGGAUCAUUUGCCCAAGUCCAAAGCUAAGACCGGUGUGGUGGCCAGAACUAGCAUUUAGACUUCUCAGAGUAAGCCCUGUCCAGAGGUCGGCUGUCUGUCUUAAGUAUAAACCUGUCACAUUCAUUCAGGUCUAUGAUGUUACCAAAACCAAAACAAAACAAAACAAAAAACCCAACCUAAAAUAGAACAAGCUACACUACUCUCUUUUAAUAACAACUGGUGGUGUGAUCUGAUAAAUAAGCCAGAAUUUCCAGAAUCUCCUGCUGUAAGACAAAAAUAAUACCCCAGGACAGGAUGACUGAAAGGUGGUUCAAGGUUUGUGUUUUAAAGUGUAUGCAGUUGUGAGCUCGCUUUCCAUCCAUGCCUGAUUUAUGAUAUAACCUAUGCAACUGAUGGUCUAAAUAUCUUUGCACGUUCUUGAAGCUUAUUCUCUAGAAUUUCUGGAUAAUGAGUCUUGUAUCUGAAUGGUGCUAAGAGGCAGCCCCGGCUAAGUCUGGAACUUGAAGUUCCUGCAGGGAUGGGACAAUGGCCCCAGCAGCUCCGUAUGGCCCCAUCAGUCUCCACCCACAGGGCUCUUCUGGGCUGGGCGGCUGUGGCUCUCAGAACGGAUUUGCAUAUCUGUAGCCUCAGAGCUGUUUCCUCACUAGACUGCGGGCCCUCUGAGGCCGAGGCUGAGGCCAUUGCAGGAUCCUUUCCAUCUGAUUGUAUGAGAGUCCCCGUCAAGGAAGAGCGACUGCCCUGUGGCUGCAGAGGCAUCGUUCUUGCCUGGAUGAAACUGGCCUCUUCUCAGCCCCUGGGUUUCCGCCACCUCAGCCUGCCCGGCCUCUGAGGAGCCGCUGGACUGACCCAGUAGCCCACAGGGUACGCAAAACCAUUUCAAAUGCUCCCUUCUCCUCGACUGCAAAAUGUCAUGUUACAAACAAACCCCCACCCCUUUUUUCUUUCAAGUGUCAUUUUGUGCAGAAACUGUAUGUCCUGAGGGGAAACAGAGGAAAACAGCAAUGGCAACUUGAGAAUGGGGUGCUGGCCUCUGCCCCCAGCCUGCUCUUGAGAAAGAACCCCCUUGGCCUGGCAGCAGCCAGCAGAGGGAGGGGAGAAUGCAAUUAAAGCUGCAGGUGUCCCUUGGCUUCUCAGCCGGAAAGCUGUGUACUGCUAGGAGAUGCUCGGGUAUCAAUGCUUGAUUAUCAUUGAUGUCCUCCCAUUGGGGACAGUCACUGCAGAAACCCCAGUACUGUUUGUGAUGUCAGGGAAACAAAAGCUUGUGUGUUUAUGUUAUACUUUUCAUGUGGUUUGGGAGCAGACCAAAUGAGCAGGGUGGCUGUGACCUGUGAAAGCUGACGGGGGGCUAGGAGGCCAAGGUGUAAAAGAGACCCAGGAAGAAAAGCAACGUUGCGAAUCAUUUGUUUCCCCUCGUAUUUGGAGCUCAACUAACUAAAUGGCCAAAGACCUAUCUCCAGUGGACAUGCGCCCACCAUGCUUGUGCUUAUUUCUCUUUGACUGUUUGUAUAGCUGGUUGAUUGUCAGCUGUGGCUGCACGUAUUGAAUAAUUAAGACGAGCCUGAGCCCACAGGUCUGGGCAGAGGGCAGGUGACACGAUGGGUCCUCGGCAGCUGCAGGUAAUUUCAGCUCCUUGCACCUGACAACCUCACUUCCAGCUUAAACUCAUCUUGUUUAACUCGAAGGCAAGGCAUCUAGGCGUCUGAAUUAUUGGCCCCCUCCCAAAUAAAAAGUUUGGGACUUCAGUUAAAUGGCUCACACAGGUCAGCCCCUCCUGCACAAACACGGUCGUGAUGCCACUUCUCUUGUAGGAGCAAGAGCAGUGACUCAGACACGAUGGCCGCAGGGCAGAGAACAGCAUCCCCGCUGCCUGUGUCCACACCCCAUUUCCUCCUGGAUCUGGAUUCCCUUGCUUGUUGGGUUCAGGCAGCCAUUUCUGUGCACGGGGGAUUCCAACGUGAACCCUCCUCUUUCUCAAGGACAGAUGUCAUGGAGUCUUUUUGUAUAUGAAGGACACUUUUUAAAAGUGUCUAGAGAAAGAGAAUAAAAGGCAUCAUUCUUGUCCUUAAGCAGCCACCAAGUGGCAAAUAUUUAAUGUGCAGCUGGAGGGUGUGCUGAGGGGUGGGGGUGGGGAGGGACAAAGGGCGCAGUCAGGGUCCUUGCUCUCUGGGUCCUUACUGGGUUGCUGACGUAGUUUGUGUAAAUAACGCAUCUGCCUGCAAUUUACAGAUUUCAAAGCACACAGGCAGGCGUUGUCUCAACCGACACAACUUUGAAACCGCACGUUCGUUGUGACUUGAGAGAUGGAAGAUAGUAAAGCCAGCCGUCCCAGGGGAGCGCUUGGCUCAUUUGGGUCUUACAGGCAGGUCUUUGGACUAUAAACCCAGAGAUCUUCCUGUGGGCAACCCCUCUGGGCACAGCAUGGCAGCCCUGCCUGGUGGUGAGAGCUCAGCUCCCCUCUGAGCCCCACUGUCCCAUUUGUAAAUUUGCAGUAAAACGAAUAAU